rnacentral:tRNA from 1 species
GCAUCCGUAGCUCAGCUGGAUAGAGUACUCGGCUACGAACCGAGCGGUCGGAGGUUCGAAUCCUCUAAUCCUCCCGGAUGCACCA